UACGUAGGCAGCAAGCGUUGUUCGGAAUUACUGGGCGUAAAGGGUGUGCAGGCGGUGCUCCGCGUCUGUUGUGAAAUCUCCCGGCUUAACUGGGAGGGUGCAGCGGAAACUAGAGUGCUAGAGGGUGGGAGAGGUAAGCGGAAUUCCUGGUGUAGCGGUGAAAUGCGUAGAUAUCGGGAGGAACACCAGUGGCGAAGGCGAUCACCUGGGGUUGUUCUGACGCUGAGGAGCGAAAGCUAGGGGAGCAAACGGG
rnacentral:rRNA from 1 species